GGGUUGUGAGGUUAAGCGACUAAGCGUACACGGUGGAUGCCCUGGCAGUCAGAGGCGAUGAAGGACGUGCUAAUCUGCGAUAAGCGCCGGUAAGGUGAUAUGAACCGUUAUAACCGGCGAUUUCCGAAUGGGGAAACCCAGUGUGACUCGUCACACUAUCAUUAACUGAAUCCAUAGGUUAAUGAGGCGAACCGGGGGAACUGAAACAUCUAAGUACCCCGAGGAAAAGAAAUCAACCGAGAUUCCCCCAGUAGCGGCGAGCGAACGGGGAGGAGCCCAGAGCCUGAAUCAGCAUGUGUGUUAGUGGAAGCGUCUGGAAAGGCGCGCGAUACAGGGUGACAGCCCCGUACACAAAAGCGCAUGUGCUGUGAGCUCGAUGAGUAGGGCGGGACACGUGGUAUCCUGUCUGAAUAUGGGGGGACCAUCCUCCAAGGCUAAAUACUCCUGACUGACCGAUAGUGAACCAGUACCGUGAGGGAAAGGCGAAAAGAACCCCGGCGAGGGGAGUGAAAAAGAACCUGAAACCGUGUACGUACAAGCAGUGGGAGCNNNNNNNNNNNNNNGGGCGUUAAGUUGCAGGGUAUAGACCCGAAACCCGGUGAUCUAGCCAUGGGCAGGUUGAAGGUUGGGUAACACUAACUGGAGGACCGAACCGACUAAUGUUGAAAAAUUAGCGGAUGACCUGUGGCUGGGGGUGAAAGGCCAAUCAAACCGGGAGAUAGCUGGUUCUCCCCGAAAGCUAUUUAGGUAGCGCCUCGUGAAUUCAUCUCCGGGGGUAGAGCACUGUUUCGGCUAGGGGGCCAUCCCGGCUUACCAACCCGAUGCAAACUGCGAAUACCGGAGAAUGUUAUCACGGGAGACACACGGCGGGUGCUAACGUCCGUCGUGAAGAGGGAAACAACCCAGACCGCCAGCUAAGGUCCCAAAGUCAUGGUUAAGUGGGAAACGAUGUGGGAAGGCCCAGACAGCCAGGAUGUUGGCUUAGAAGCAGCCAUCAUUUAAAGAAAGCGUAAUAGCUCACUGGUCGAGUCGGCCUGCGCGGAAGAUGUAACGGGGCUAAACCAUGCACCGAAGCUGCGGCAGCGANNUGCUGGAGGUAUCAGAAGUGCGAAUGCUGACAUAAGUAACGAUAAAGCGGGUGAAAAGCCCGCUCGCCGGAAGACCAAGGGUUCCUGUCCAACGUUAAUCGGGGCAGGGUGAGUCGACCCCUAAGGCGAGGCCGAAAGGCGUAGUCGAUGGGAAACGGGUUAAUAUUCCCGUACUUGGUGUUACUGCGAAGGGGGGACGGAGAAGGCUAUGUUGGCCGGGCGACGGUUGUCCCGGUUUAAGCGUGUAGGUGUGUGUUCCAGGUAAAUCCGGUUCACUUUAACACUGAGGCGUGACGACGAGGCACUACGGUGCUGAAGCAACAAAUGCCCUGCUUCCAGGAAAAGCCUCUAAGCAUCAGGUAACAUCAAAUCGUACCCCAAACCGACACAGGUGGUCAGGUAGAGAAUACCAAGGCGCUUGAGAGAACUCGGGUGAAGGAACUAGGCAAAAUGGUGCCGUAACUUCGGGAGAAGGCACGCUGACAUGUAGGUGAAGUGAUUUACUCAUGGAGCUGAAGUCAGUCGAAGAUACCAGCUGGCUGCAACUGUUUAUUAAAAACACAGCACUGUGCAAACACGAAAGUGGACGUAUACGGUGUGACGCCUGCCCGGUGCCGGAAGGUUAAUUGAUGGGGUCAGCGCAAGCGAAGCUCCUGAUCGAAGCCCCGGUAAACGGCGGCCGUAACUAUAACGGUCCUAAGGUAGCGAAAUUCCUUGUCGGGUAAGUUCCGACCUGCACGAAUGGCGUAAUGAUGGCCAGGCUGUCUCCACCCGAGACUCAGUGAAAUUGAACUCGCUGUGAAGAUGCAGUGUACCCGCGGCAAGACGGAAAGACCCCGUGAACCUUUACUAUAGCUUGACACUGAACAUUGAGCCUUGAUGUGUAGGAUAGGUGGGAGGCUUUGAAGUGUGGACGCCAGUCUGCAUGGAGCCGACCUUGAAAUACCACCCUUUAAUGUUUGAUGUUCUAACGUGGACCCGUUAUCCGGGUUGCGGACAGUGUCUGGUGGGUAGUUUGACUGGGGCGGUCUCCUCCUAAAGAGUAACGGAGGAGCACGAAGGUUGGCUAAUCCUGGUCGGACAUCAGGAGGUUAGUGCAAUGGCAUAAGCCAGCUUGACUGCGAGCGUGACGGCGCGAGCAGGUGCGAAAGCAGGUCAUAGUGAUCCGGUGGUUCUGAAUGGAAGGGCCAUCGCUCAACGGAUAAAAGGUACUCCGGGGAUAACAGGCUGAUACCGCCCAAGAGUUCAUAUCGACGGCGGUGUUUGGCACCUCGAUGUCGGCUCAUCACAUCCUGGGGCUGAAGUAGGUCCCAAGGGUAUGGCUGUUCGCCAUUUAAAGUGGUACGCGAGCUGGGUUUAGAACGUCGUGAGACAGUUCGGUCCCUAUCUGCCGUGGGCGCUGGAGAACUGAGGGGGGCUG
rnacentral:rRNA from 1 species